GAGCCCCAGGCCCUUUUGAAUCACUGACCCCCAAGGCAACUGCCCCUUUUCCUCCCCCACUGUUGGUGGCCCUGCCGGUAUCAUCCAGCAGCGCUGUCAGACCCUAUGGCAGGGCCACAGAUGUGAGGAGAGGUAACGGGGGCAGGGACCUGAAAGCAUAAAGCACUGCCACAGCAGCACUGUAACGUCGUCCGUGUACGGGCCGGAACCGGUGGCCAGUUCUUACCAGCAUGCUGGCCCAGCCCACUUUCACCUCUGGGAAUUGUGAUAUUUUUUCUAAAUAGAAGUGUUACUAGUUUGCAGAAACGUAUUUGCGGCAGAAAGACAGCCUCUUGUGAUGUUUCUAUUGAAUUGAUAAUGCUGAGUUUAGAAGACAAGUAGCAAUUGUUCUAGUGAAAGAGUCAGAAAGCGUGGAGGACUACUGCAUAUACUGCAACCUUGUCAGUUGUGAAAAGGAAAGUGAGGAUUGCACGAUGGUCCAGUGUGAUUCUUGCAAGAGGUGGGUACAUAUGCCCUGCAUUCCAGAAGGAACAAAUCAUGAAAUCCUCACUGAUGAGGAAGAAGAAUACGAGUGCAAAAAAGUGCAUAGUUCAGUUCUUUAUCAGAAAAAUGACAUUAUCUGUAAAUAGUUGUUGUUAAAAAUGGCUUUGAACAAAAAGCUAACCUUUUAUUUAUAUACCGGAUUACAAUAAAGUUUUUAAAAUUGGAAAAACA